AUUGAACGCUGGCGGAUGCUUUACACAUGCAAGUCGAGCGGCAGCGCGGGGGCAACCCUGGCGGCGAGCGGCGAACGGGUGAGUAACAUAUCGGAACGUACCCCGUCGUGGGGGAUAACUACCCGAAAGGGUAGCUAAUACCGCAUACGACCUGAGGGUGAAAGGGGGGGAUCGCAAGACCUCUCGCGAUGGGAGCGGCCGAUAUCGGAUUAGCUAGUUGGUGGGGUAAAGGCCUACCAAGGCGACGAUCCGUAGCUGGUCUGAGAGGACGACCAGCCACACUGGAACUGAGACACGGUCCAGACUCCUACGGGAGGCAGCAGUGGGGAAUUUUGGACAAUGGGGGUAACCCUGAUCCAGCCAUUCCGCGUGAGUGAAGAAGGCCUUCGGGUUGUAAAGCUCUUUCAGCAGGAACGAAACGGUGGCCACUAAUACUGGACGCUAAUGACGGUACCUGCAGAAGAAGCACCGGCUAACUACGUGCCAGCAGCCGCCGCAG
rnacentral:rRNA from 1 species